CUGUUGUAUUUUGUUAACAGUGACAAUGACAAGCACUAACAGGAUGCUCCCGCUGUGAUUGAGAAUGUCCUGAGUCGAAGCUGUUAAAGAGGCCAAGAAUUCCCAAGCUUUCCCAGGCAAACGGGGAAGAACACUGGGAUGCCUUUUCCUCCUCCUCUGUCCAUCUGCAGGCCAAGUGUGCAUCAGUCACAGGCAAACUCUGAAUUGAGCUUUGUGCAAGUCUCUGGAAAGAGACCCAAGAUCGUGUGAUGAGCAAAAGUGACAGUGCUGGAGGCAGCGACAUCUGCAGAGCCAGCCCCAUCCCUAUCUGCAGCAGAAUAUGUAUGGGGAUCCUUUAUGUGAACAAUCCACCCAGGGUAGAAUGGGGCUUUUGACAUCAGCUGAGACCCAGGCGGCCUUACAAUGAGAGGGCUGUUGGUCAAAGGAAGGACUGUUUAAUGAACUGAGAAUCUGAGGCCAGCUCUGGCCAUCUGCACUUGGAAUCAUUAGAGCAACUCUACUGUAACUGGCAACCUUGAAUAAUGCAGCAAAUUCAUAUUCCAAAAUUGUGAACUUUAAAAUUUUGUGUUUGUGUCUAUGAUGAAAAGCAUUAUAUAAACAUUUGAUACUACAAUUUUAUUAGUAAGGAAGGCUGAAAAAGUAUCUCUCUUUUGACUCUGAGGUCAAUAAUGAUAAUGGCUUUUCCCCUACACUGGGAUAGAAAUGUUCUGUCAAGGAUAUGAAAACACUUUAUGAAAAUGAAAUUCAUUAAAGCCCUUAAUAAUCAGGUAGGGAAGGCAGGUGCUCACAAUUGUCACCUGUUGGUGAGUGAACACCUUAGGCUCGGGGAGGACAAUGACUCAAGAACAAGGUCGAAUUGCAGGUGGGGGGUGAAGCUGAUCCCUAACAGUGUCCUCCAGCCCCUGGCACUGAGGAAGGACAUGGAGGGCUUGCAUCGACUUUUCCUGGCAGGCUUGUGAUUCCCAGCCAGAAUGCAGGUGGCAAUGUUGUGAUUCCUGGCGUAACCUUCAAUGCUUCAAUGAUAAUCUCUGCUGGUGCCAGGCACCAGCUGAGUGUCACUGUGCAGCUCCCAGGCUUAAGUGAUGCAUGCCGAGGUUUUCAGAGCAGUCUCUCAUUUAUUAGUUGUGUUGGAAAGAAAUCUGUACUACCUAACUGGGUACCUCUGGAUUUUAACAGCUGUGGUUUAUAAGAGAUAUGAGAGGGGGUUUGUUUUCAAAGUGCCUUUCACAAAGUAACACCUUAGACUGUAGUUUACAUUCCAUUCCAGUAGGAUAACUUGCAACACUUCUGUGCUCAGAAAUCCAACUGUGCAAGAAAAGUCAGGUUAUAUUUUCAUACAGCCCGUUCUGGCAAAUAUGCCUUCACACCACUUUCCCUCCUCCUCACCGCUAUUGGCAAUAGUCCCAAUGGAAGAGUUUUAUGUCAAAUGCUGAGUAUCUUGGAAGCUGUCCUGCACAGACACGACUGCUUGGCUGCGUGUUGGAGAGUCGCGGUUGGACUGGGAGACCAGGAAGGUCCCUUCUGGUCUGAGAUGUGAUGACUCUAGAACUAAUUAGUUUCAACUCAUAACACGAAAUGAUACUAGCUACCAUUUGGUGGGCUUUUUCUGUGUUCCAGGCUCUGUGCUAAGAUCUUAGCAUUACUCUAAUUACAAAAUCCCUGCCAAUAUUAUCCUCAGUUUACGCAAGAACAAAUGGGUUUAGGGAAAUCAAAAACUUGUCCAAUGACACAGAUUUAAGAUUUAGCAACUGAUGGCCACGUGGAAAUGGAUUACAGAUUAUUCUAAUUGGACACUCUAAACGUGCAAUUUAACCAGAAUGAAAUUUAGGGCUGCGUGCUGUGGCUCAUGCCUGUAAUCCUAGCACUUUGGGAAGCCAGGUGUAUCCCUUAAGCCCAGGAGUUUGAGAGCAACUUGGGCAACAUGGUGAAACCUGUAUCUACAAAAAAUACAAAAAUUAGCCAGGUGAGGUGGUGUAUGCCUGUAGUUCCAGCUACUUGGGAGGCUGAGAGAUGGGAGGAUUGGUUGAGCCUAGGAGGUCGAGGCUGCUGUGAGCUGUGAUGGUUCCACUGCACUCCAGCCUGGGCGACAGAGACAGACUCCAUCUCAAAAAAAAAAAAAAAAAAAGUAGCUACCUUGUGGUUGCACUCGUCUGAGACUAGCUCAUGGCUCCAGCUCUCAGGGUGGUGAGUAAUGAUUCUGUGGUCAGACGCAGUUUUGAAGUCAGGCAAGAAAACCUUCAACAAGAGUUAGAGAUGUCCUGUCUAUGAAUUUCUCCUCUAGGCUUAGGGAUAGCCCUGGGAUUCAUGUCAUGCCAGUUAGGGAUCCACUCAUUGUAAGCAAUACAAGUGCCCCCGAAGAGACAGUGCAUUAAUUGUCACCCCUUAGGAGCAUUGUGUGAAUUAGUGUGAUUUAGCACAUGCCCAGAGGGAUGAAACUCUAGCUCCAUAGGGUAGGUCCUGAUUACUCCUGGAGCAGGCAGCCAGCUCAGCUCAUGGGGAGCUCUGAGAAGUCUCUCAAUGCCUCGCAUGCAGCCCCUGCUCAGGAGUCAUGUGUCACUUCACAGUCUUGCUUUCCAGUGGGUCAAAGCAUGAUGUUUAUGAGAAACAAAUACACAAAAUUCUGACUUGUGUGAAUACAGAACACGUGCAAUAAAACGACUGCAAUCUAUUUUUAAAAUGUGGUCUGAGAAGUCAGGUUUAAUAUGACUAUGUAAUAUAUAAACAAUAUAUUUUCCACAGAAAGGAAAAUAUAAAUAAUAAAAUAUGUCUAUUUCUUUUUUUUGGUGGAAAAUUACUCCCACAAUUUGGUCCCAAGGGGGUCUUAAUUUGUCAUCAGGUCUGUGGCUAAAUGUCUUAUAAAGGAAUGCUUCUUUCUUUCGAGAAGUGUACAGGAACAGUCUGCACUGACUGCUUUUACCUGUAAAUGUUUUGAGAAUUCAGAAGUCACUUUCCUUCCACAAUAGGUGCUAGGCAUUUUAUUUAAAUAAAGCAAAAACAUUUCUGUCAUAAAGAAGGUGUUAAUAACCUCAAAGCUAUGCGAAAUAUACUAGUACAAUCUAAUACUCAUGGUGAAAAAUACAGUAAUUAAGAGCAAUUCAAGUUUUUUUGUUUUGGUUUAACUUCAGAAUUAAAAUAAACUCAGAAUUAAAAAAAUAAAAAAUGGUUUUAUUACAUGUCAGAGUAUUGAGAUACAAAAUAUAUACCAGAU
rnacentral:lncRNA from 10 species